GUCGGUGGGUGUUCUGACCAGUCUAUCCGGGCAGAGACGAUCUGAGGGAACCGGCGCGGGUCUUCACAGAGGAGGCAAAAUGAAGUGCACCGGUCCCAAAUGACGAGGAGGAGGAAAGAGUCUGGACAGGCUGAUUCCAUUGGAGAGCAGGAACAAGAGAAGGAGGCCGAUGCUGAGCGACAUGACAACCUCACAGUUCACUGGAACAGAAAUCCUGUGUUCUUCUCAGGGCCGGACCUGGAAGCAGAACUGUACAAACUAACACCAAAAAGGCAAACACACAGAUGCAUACAUUACGACGCAGAAAACAAUCCUUUAUUCUGCAUACAACAAGUAAUUCUGUGGUCAUCUGAAAAACAUAAUUCUAGUAAUAAUUAAAAUAUAUUACUUUGACUACACUGAAAGUGCAAAGUGACUACUGCUGAACUUCAUUGUUUGUUAUAGCAGAUUUUGUAAUUAAUAGCUAUAACAUUUUAAAAGGAUUAAAUAAAACUUGAUCUAUCUGAUAAAUUAAGUACCCAAGCUAUGCAUCUGAGAUACACAAACGCAUGUUUUUUAAAAUUGUUUUGUUGGUUGUUUUCACAUAUCUAUUGGAUCAAUAACAUCUGGUUAUAUGGUUUGCAGAAAACGAAUGACCACUAAAAAGUGGUCAUGUAACUUUCAUCAAUGACCUCUUCAAAGAGAAGUUAAUUCUUCAGAAAGCCAAAUAAACCAUCAUAUACCUCCAUAUGAAAUAUAGCAACUACCUCACAUAAACAUCCAGCUUCCACACAUGAUGGAGACCCAUGGGGAGUGUAGCAUACACAAAAACACACACACACACACACACACACACACACA